rnacentral:rRNA from 1 species
AUUGAACGCUGGCGGCAGGCCUAACACAUGCAAGUCGAGCGGAUGAUGGGAGCUUGCUCCUGGAUUCAGCGGCGGACGGGUGAGUAAUGCCUAGGAAUCUGCCUGGUAGUGGGGGACAACGUUUCGAAAGGAACGCUAAUACCGCAUACGUCCUACGGGAGAAAGCAGGGGACCUUCGGGCCUUGCGCUAUCAGAUGAGCCUAGGUCGGAUUAGCUAGUAGGUGAGGUAAAGGCUCACCUAGGCGACGAUCCGCAACUGGUCUGAGAGGAUGAUCAGUCACACUGGAACUGAGACACGGUCCAGACUCCUACGGGAGGCAGCAGUGGGGAAUAUUGGACAAUGGGCGAAAGCCCGAUCCAGCCAUGCCGCGUGUGUGAAGAAGGUCUUCGGAUUGUAAAGCACUUUAAGUUGGGAGGAAGGGCAGUAAGUUAAUACCUUGCUGUUUUGACGUUACCGACAGAAUAAGCACCGGCUAACUUCGUGCCAGCAGCCGCGGUAAGAC